AGAGUUUGAUCCUGGCUCAGAAUCAACGCUGGCGGCGUGCCUAACACAUGCAAGUCGAACGCGAAAGUGGAGCAAUCCAUGAGUAGAGUGGCAAACGGGUGAGUAACGCGUGGGUGACCUGCCUUCGAGUGGGGGAUAACGCUCCGAAAGGGACGCUAAUACCGCAUAACAUCCUGCCUUUUAAGAGGUGGAGAUCAAAGCCUGGGACCGCAAGGCCAGGCGCCUGAAGAGGGGCCCGCGUCUGAUUAGCUAGUUGGUGGGGUAAUGGCUCACCAAGGCUUCGAUCAGUAUCCGGCCUGAGAGGGCGGACGGACACACUGGGACUGAGACACGGCCCAGACUCCUACGGGAGGCAGCAGUGGGGAAUUGUUCGCAAUGGGCGCAAGCCUGACGACGCAACGCCGCGUGGAGGAUGAAGACCUUCGGGUCGUAAACUCCUUUCGAUCGAGACGAAUGGCCCCUGGGUGAACAAUCCAGGGGGAGUGACGGUACCGAGAGAAGAAGCCCCGGCUAACUCGUGCCAGCAGCCGCGGUA
rnacentral:rRNA from 1 species